GGGGGCGUUUUUGGAUUCGACGGGGAUAGUUCGAGCAUGGGUAGCGGGUAGUAGGGCCGCGGCUGCUUCAACAACGCGGAAGCCAAAUUUAAACGGCAAACAACAACAACAACCUCUGGCUCUGGCCGCCUAAUAACGGCCUCCAGGCUCUUACCCUCCAUCGCCCAUGUGGCGGGCUAAGGGCUCAACUUUAGUGGGAUACGCUGUCCAGUCUCCGCCUGGGGCUGGCUGAAGAAGACAAUCAGGCUGACCCGAAAAGCAGCCGGUGACGGGGCGGCUUUAGGGUGACAUCAAAACUGUCACUACACCCGUAGAAGCCUGUGUGGCGUUAUCUUCGGACAGGGGUUCGACUCCCCUCGCCUCCACCA
rfam:Paenibacillus sp. 32O-W, complete genome.